CUGGGGGCUGCAGGCACAUCUCCAAGCGCACAUGAACAGCAACCGCAAGCACAGAGCAAGCAUCACUGAGGGAGCAGGGCCACCAAUUUGGGAUUUCCUGCGUGGGAAAGGAGGCUGCCAGGGCCGGUGCAGCAGAGUCAGGGUCCCGGCACGCCACCGGGGAGCGAACACCAGCCUGGCCUCAGCUGGGCUUGGUCUCAUGUCUUUGCGUUUAUAGACUGGUGCUUCGGGACGGUGAGCGGAUCUCAGUUGUGAAGCAAGGCACCAACUGCAUGGGCAUUUUGAUUCAGACUUGCAACGUGCAGCUUGGACCCUUGUGUUAGCUACUUCCAGCAUCUUGCAAAAAAAAAGUGGAGAAUUUACACAGUGCGUUUGCAUUUGAUUUUUGCUAAGUACCUGUGGCG